GACGAACGCUGGCGGCGUGCUUAACACAUGCAAGUCGAACGGAAAGGCCCUGCUUUUGUGGGGUGCUCGAGUGGCGAACGGGUGAGUAACACGUGAGUAACCUGCCCUUGACUUUGGGAUAACUUCAGGAAACUGGGGCUAAUACCGGAUAGGAGCUCCUGCUGCAUGGUGGGGGUUGGAAAGUUUCGGCGGUUGGGGAUGGACUCGCGGCUUAUCAGCUUGUUGGUGGGGUAGUGGCUUACCAAGGCUUUGACGGGUAGCCGGCCUGAGAGGGUGACCGGCAACAUUGGGACUGAGAGACGGCCCAGACUACUACGGGAGGCAGCAGGGGGGAAGAGUGCAGAAGGGGCGGAAGCCUGAUGCAGCAACGCCGCGUGCGGGAUGACGGCCGUCGGGUUGUAAACCGGGUUCGCCGGUGACGAAGCGUGAGUGACGGUAAUGGGUAAAGAAGCACCGGCUAACUACGUG
rnacentral:rRNA from 1 species